AGCAGCCGCGGUAAUUCCAGCUCCAAUAGCGUAUAUUAAAGUUGUUGCAGUUAAAAAGCUCGUAGUUGAAUUUCGGGGUCAACAGGUCGGUCGUGCCUACGGUAUGCACUGGCCUUGCUGAUUCCUCCCUCUUGAUGAGCCGUAAUGCCAUUAAUUUGGUGUUGCGAGGAAUCAGGACUGUUACUUGAAAAAAUUAGAGUGUUUAAAGCAGGCAAGCGCUUGAAUACAUUAGCAUGGAAUAAUGAAAUAGGACGUUUGAUCCUAUUUUGUUGGUUUCUAGGAUUGACGUA
rnacentral:rRNA from 1 species